GCCUCUGUAGCUCAGUUGGUUAGAGCGCUGCACUGGAAUCGCAGUAUCGCAGGUUUGAUUUCUGCCAGAGAGCU